AAUUUGGCAGAUUAAUGCACUAGAUUUAGAAUCUACUCACAAGAAUAAUAUUA
rnacentral:tRNA from 1 species